UACAGAGGUGGCAAGCGUUGUUCGGAAUUACUGGGCGUAAAGGGCGCGUAGGCGGUCUUGUAAGUCUUGUGUGAAAUCCCUCGGCUUAACUGAGGAACUGCACGGGAUACUGCGAGACUUGAGAUCGGGAGAGGGAAGCGGAAUUCCACGUGUAGCAGUGAAAUGCGUAGAUAUGUGGAGGAAUACCGAUGGCGAAGGCAGCCCCCUGGGAUAACACUGACGCUCAUGCACGAAAGCGUGGGGAGCAAACAGG
rnacentral:rRNA from 1 species